UCCUGAAAAGCUAGCCCAACUCUCACGAAAUGUCCACUUUGAAUAAAACAACCCCUGAAUAAUUCAACAAAUCAUUUUACCUCCCCAGUAAUCGGGCGACAGAAAAGGAACCAGGAGCUAUAGAUAAAGUACCGCAAGGGAAAGCUGAAAGAGAAAUGAAACAACUACCCCAAGCUACGAAAAGCAAAGAUUAUCUCUUGUACCUUUUGCAUCAUGACCUAGCCAGUACCCCUGAGCAUAGAGAACUUUAGUUCGGCCCCCCGAAACUAAGCGAGCUACUUCAAGACAGCCUACGUUGGGCUAACCCGUCUCUGUCGCAAAAGAGUGGGGAGAUCUUCAAGUAGAGGUGACAAACCUACCGAGCCUAGUUAUAGCUGGUGUCUGAAAAGUGUAUGUAAGUUCAGCCUCCCGACUCCCCCCAUCCUAGACAACUACGUCCCCUAAGAUUAAGGGUGACCGAGAGAGUUAGUCAAAGAGGGUACAGCCCCUUUGAAUAAGGACACAACCUCACUGGGAGAUUUAAGAUCAUAAACGACCCAAGGAGUCCUGUUUUAGUGGGCCUAGAAGCAGCCACCUAAGAAAAAAGCGUUAAAGCUUAUGCAGACUCUAGCCCCCAAUACCGAACCCAAUUCUACACCCCCACCUUGUAUCAGACCCUCCCGCCGAUCCCGGGAAAGACCCUGCUAGGAUGAGUAAUUUGGGGGAGACUGACCCCCUCCUAACACAUGUGUACGUCGGAACGGACUCGCCGCCGAUAAUCAACGGUUCCCCACACGAGGAGAAUGUAUAAUCACCCGAACAACAAGAAAACUUAACAUGACCAGCCGUUAACCCCACACAGGUGUGUUUACCCGGAAAGACUUAGACAAGGGGAAGGAACUCGGCAAACACGAGCCUCGCCUGUUUACCAAAAACAUCGCCUCUUGCAAAACGAACGAAUAAGAGGUCCCGCCUGCCCUGUGACCAUGUGUUUAACGGCCGCGGUAUUUUGACCGUGCAAAGGUAGCGCAAUCACUUGUCUCUUAAUUGGAGACCUGUAUGAAAGGCACCACGAGGGCUCAGCUGUCUCCCCCUUUAAGUCAGUGAAAUUGAUCUCCCCGUGCAGAAGCGGGGAUGUACUCGUAAGACGAGAAGACCCUAUGGAGCUUUAGACAUAAGGCGACCUACGUUAAGCACUCUUCCUGAAAAGACAAAACAAGGUAAGCCUCGCUGGAAUGUCUUCGGUUGGGGCGACCACGGGGAACCAUAAAACCCCCGCGCGGAUAAGGGUAACUACCCCUCCUACAUCCUAGACCCACAGGUCAAAGCCACAGUACUUCUGACCACAGAGAUCCGGCAAUGCCGAUCAACGGACCUAGUUACCCUAGGGAUAACAGCGCAAUCCCCUCCCAGAGCCCUUAUCGACAAGGGGGUUUACGACCUCGAUGUUGGAUCAGGACAUCCUAAUGGUGCAGCCGCUAUCAAGGGUUCGUUUGUUCAACGAUUAAUAGUCCUACGUGAUCUGAGUUCAGACCGGAGUAAUCCAGGUCGGUUUCUAUCUACGCCUUGAUUUUUUCUAGUACGAAAGGACCGAAAAGAGGUGGCCCCUGUUUUGAGAUAUGCCUCACCUCCCACUAAUGAACACAAAUAAAAUAGAAAGGAGACAAACUCCCACGCCCGAAAGCAGGGCUA
rnacentral:rRNA from 1 species